rnacentral:lncRNA from 1 species
GAAAUAUCUUCAACCAUUUCGAUGAAACAUUUAAAUGGCCACUCUUCGCCGAUCAAUUCCAUUUAACCGAAACUCAAUAAUCCCAUUAGAUUAAACCACUUCCCCAUUCAUCUCGAUAUUAAUUCAAUUUAAAAUUCAUCCCAUCCACGCCAUAGCGAAGCGUUAAAAUCUAUGAAACCCGAGUUUCCGUCGAAAAUCAUCGACUGGAAAACGGAAUUUUCCUUCCCGCUUGCCGUUCCGCUUGAAAUUUAUCAUUGGAUGGAUACUUAACCGAUUUACGAUCCGACAAAUUUACACCGCGAUUCGUCACGUCCGUCGCGAAUUUCGAUAAACCGGUCAGCUUAUAAAAGCCGACCGAAACGAUGCGCGGCCGAUAAUGCAGCGACAGUCAUGCACCGUGCCGCGUUUUGGUUAAGCGUGAUCACGCUCGCGAUCCUCUUGUUUUGGGCUGUAGAACGUGGAAACGCCACUUCGGACCCCGAUCCCCGGAAUAUAAUUUACAUCAUCAGCCAUGGGAAAAAGAAACACAAAGGAACGAUCAUUGAGAUCCACAGGCAUCGACCGAAGCACAAGCUGAACGUCGUACUCGUCGAUUCGUGAAUAGAUCUCGAACGAAAUUUUUUUAAAGUGACGGAGAACCAGGAACUGAGGAAAUAAUACGAAAUAAAUACGAGUGCACAAUGGACAAUUGUAAAGUGUGUGAGAUAUAGUUAUAUAAAAAUAUGAUGCUUCGUCGUUAAAUGCAUGCAAAUGUUUAACGUCAAAAAUAAAUAUUCGUAUACGUUUACGUGUAAUCCUAUUUACCUACGGAGAUUGAUGAAUAUGUUUUGUUUCACGCGGUAUUUCGUGCUUAAACGCACAAGUUUUCACGUUUCGUAUAACUUACGGGUCAGUCUCUUUGUCGAGCGACAUCAUGCUCAACGACACUCGUAAGUUAAGCGUUUAUUAUAGAAUUAUAUGCAAUUCUAACGGUAUGUAGGCGAUCGUCCCACCAUGGCAGGAACUUAACUAUCGUGCAGAGUGAUAAAUAUUACAGUUAUUACGCGUAUGUAUAUGCAACAGUUGUUAAACAAGGGAACAAGAACUAGAAGAGUAAGAUAUUGCAAAAGUGAACCGAUUCAAACGUUUCUUUCUCUUGGAUUUAAAAUAUUCAAAGAAUACUCUUGAAACGUUAAUAUUUUCCGAACGAUAGGUACUUAAAUCAUCAUGAGAAUCGAAAUGCAGUGGCAAUCGAAGCGAGGUUAAUCAAUUAAUCAUCAAUUCCUCCUCUUGGCAAACUUCCAAUCCCUGAACGCGAAUGAUCCUGUGCUUUGUAUUGCAUGCUCCUCCACGAUUUCACUUUCGUUCACGAGGGAUAUGGUUUCUGCUUGAAGAGCUAGUCACGAGGGAUAAAGGAAGAUAGAGAUAGAGGGUUUCGUUUUGAGCUGAAUAUCUAAGAGAGGCGCAAAAGAGGUAUAACGUGUAGGCAAGCUGUUCAACAAUUGAUUGCACGGACAGAACGUAGUCGCAGGCAAUGGACGUAGAAUGUAGAAGACCAGCAGACCCGCAAGCCCUAUUUCUCCCUACUCUUAUGUUUAUCCAUAGCUUCGCCAUUGUUCAUGAUCAAUCAUAGACAACAUGCAAUAUAGUGGGGACCAGCAGAGCUAAAAAUUUCAAGUCUUAUUCCGCUAUUUUCAUAGCUUUGCUUUUGACAUUGUUUGAAAUCUUCAGUUUCCAAUGUUAAUUAAUUUCGCAACUCUUGUGUCCUAAAAUCUGGAGAUUUCAUUUCGCCAAUUCCACCAUCCCUAGCUUUGCUUACGAACUGCUGAACAUUGGAUUAAAGUUUGAAACCUGCACUCAGCUAAUUUUGCAAUUCCUGACUUUCCUCUCUAGUAGAUCUAAAGUCUCUGCCGCCAAUUUCCCUAAUUUUCCACAGCUCUAUUCUCAUCCUCCAGAAAAUGUAGCGGAUCAAAUGGAAUUUAAAUUCUCAAAUUUUCAAUCCCACUGCCACUAGCUUCGAAUAACUACUUAUCCCAUAAUAUUAUCUAACCGCGGGAAUAUUACACUCGCAAAAUGGUUGAAUCAACAGAGAGCAAAGGAGCACCGGAAGCGUUCGGUCAAGGUAAGACGUUGCCUCUGCUCGCGGCGUAUGCACAUUCAUUUCUCAACCGCGCUUUCCUCCGCUCUCGAUGAAACGUUUUCCUUACCUAUGGUUGAAGGCAUCGGUUCUUCCAUUAAUUGCACCUUGCUCUUCGUUCUGCGUUUCCUCGCAUUCGUUUCGCUUCUCGAUGAGUUUGAUAGCUCGUGGCUAUGAUGCGCGUCCAAAUGCUCAUCGAGAAAUGAGUUUAACGACGAGUUCGUCGAAAUUUCGUACGAAUAGGUGGAGAGAUUCGCCAAUAUCGAUGGAACAAUUUUUUUGCUUCGAAUCUGGCUAAUAACGUUGAUUGCAUAAAGGUUAUGUAUGACUUUAAGAAAGAAUAUGUUUUGUUCGUAUGAGUGAUUCAAAGUGAAUAAGAGUGAAAAUAAAAGGAUGAAAAGAAACUUGAUUUAAACUGUUAUUAAGAUUGAUAUAUAUAUAUACCCUUUGUCUCGACGAGGAUAAUCGCUGGUAUUAAACUGGAUUGUCACUGAACUUUAAUCGAGAUCAAAUGUUUUGACCCUU